ACCUGGGUGGCUCAGUUGGUUGAGUAUCUGACUUCAGCUCAGGUCGUGAUUUCACGGUUCGUGGGUUUGAGCCCCACGUCGGGCU
rnacentral:tRNA from 1 species